UACGGGGGGAGCAAGCGUUGUUCGGAUUUACUGGGCGUAAAGGGCGCGUAGGCGGUCGUGACAAGUCACUUGUGAAAUCUCCGGGCUUAACUCGGAACGGUCAAGUGAUACUGUCGGACUAGAGUACAGAAGGGGCAACUGGAAUUCUCGGUGUAGCGGUGAAAUGCGCAGAGAUCGGGAGGAACACCCGUAGCGAAGGCGGCACUCUGGGCCGGUACUGACGCUGAGGAGCGAAAGCGUGGGGAGCGAACGAGG
rnacentral:rRNA from 1 species